UUAUUGCCUCUGCAAUACAUAUACUAAAACUGGAACGACACAGAGAAGAUUAGCAUGGGACUUGCGCAAGGAUGACACAAAUUUGUGAAGCGUUCCAUAUUUUC
rfam:Octopus bimaculoides Scaffold413_contig_252, whole genome shotgun sequence.